GACCCAGUGGCGAAAUGUAUCGCGCCCAAAGAGAGCGAUCUUAUGUAAUCGCGGGAGUCCCUGGUUCGAAUCCAGGCUAGGUCA